UUUCUAGAUUUUUGCAAUCAACAGAGCUGCUUCUAAGAGAAAUGUAGAUGGAAAGAUAUGAAUCUGGAACUAUAUAUUCAUAAUUAAAUACACUGGAAGAUUUUUGACCGUUCUCAUUGGUUUACUGUUUUCUUGCUUUUUGGGGAAGAAACAAUUUCGUUGGAUUUUAGUUGACAAGGUAGUUAUCUUGGCCUCAGCAUUAUAUAUAAAUAUACAAAUUAUUUGGAGAGUUAAUGGGCAGGCCAUUUAUCUCUAAUAAAGUUUAGAUGGCUAUGCUUAAAACUGAAUUUGUGUAUCUGAGUGGGAAACAUAGCCUUUUUUCUUUUUUUUCCCUCUUGGUUGACACCUGGUGGAAAUUCAUUCUGGUUGUUCAAGUACUUGGAAUUUUGUACUAGCUUUGGUAACAGAUACUACUUGGGUUUUUUUGCCACCUAGUGGUAAAAUGGUGAAUUUGCUAAAAUGUCAGCUUCUCAGCUUUAGGGUCAAAUGAUACUUGUGAAGCAUUCAAAUGACAUUGGGCAAGAAAUGGAUUUAAAAGUGCAGUACACAAUGAGGCCUUCAUUACUAAAUUUGUUUUAAAUACCUCAGGGCUCGUGAACAAUGGCUAAAUUGUUCAGAAGUUUAAGUAAAAAUUUUCUUGUCCUAAUAUAACUUCUAUCUGAAAAAAUAAGAAUCAGUUUUUUAAAUGAACUACAAUUGCAUUUAAUCAGAAAGAACCCUAAGAGAUUUACUUGUAGUUUGGAAAGUUGUUUUACCACAUUAAAUGAUUCAUUCGUGGGGCUAUAGGGCAUUAUUCCUUCUCUUAGAAGCUUUUAGGAUAUUAUAAAUUACUGUCUUUAUUACUUACUUUGCUAUUUCUCUUUAUUUUCUCUCUGUGUCUUCAUAAACACUUCCUAAACACCUCUUAAACUAAUUGACAAGUUGCCAGGAAAUUCUUAUCCCCUGUCACUUUUACUUAAGAUUCUACUCAUUUAUCCUAAUUAUCACCUUUCUUUGAUUUGGAUUUGGUCAUAUAACUAUUUAAGUGUCUAAACUUGAGUUUACUUGCUUCAUUUUGUUUACUUUCUCCUAUUUGUUCAAACUCUGGAAACACCAGAAACAAACGAACAACAAACAAACAACCCUGGCACCUUUAAAUUCCUGUUUGUGUUUUCAGUUUUUUAAAAAUUUAUUUAUGUAAGUAAUUUCUACAUCCAGUAUGGGGCUCAAACUCACAACCAGAGAUCAAGAGUCUCAUGCUCUUCCAACUGAGCCAGCCAGAUGUCCCUUUGUUUUUGUGUCUAAAAGGAAAAAAACACUUGGACUAAAUUUUGGACUAAAUGUUUUCUCUUGUGGCAUUUGUAACCUCCCCUUUUCAAAACUCCUUGUCUAAAACUCUGCCUUUGAGAUAACUUGAAAUGUUGUACUUUAGGUGUUUUCUUGGUCUUCUGGACUUGUCUUACUGGGCCCUUAUUGUAUUUUGCAUUAAGUUUAAGCUAUUCGUCUUUACCACUAAGGCUCUUUCCUACUGCACUCCAGCCUACGUCUUGUAUGCCUUCUCCUCCUACUCCUCUGCUGACUCUCUAUACUCCUGUCAAGUGCAUCUUCUGUCCCCUUUGUUAGCCUGUCUCGCUGUUGCCAAUGUGCAGUUGCAUGCUGUUUUCUGUGCCCAGAACAACAUCUCACUGCUGUUAACUCCUUUCCCUUCUUCUAACCCCUCUACUAGACUCAGUUGGGCACAACUGAAUAAAAUUCCAAGUAGGCAGAAUAACUAGCUCCCCCUUCCCUUUUUACAACUUCUUCAGAGCUUAAGUAGAAAUCCCUCUUUAUGGUAUUUGUUCCUUGGAUUUUAAAUUCAAUGGCUGUUCCAUCUUACUGUACAAAGGAUUAAACUCAAGCUCAAGAACUCUAUCUAAAACUGACAAAUGAUGAUCACUAUCAAGAUAUUUUGUAUUCAUGUGGCUUUUCUGCAAAUGAAGAGGAAGGAGAGAAGAACCUUUUAGAAAGAGUCGCUUGAUAAAUAAGUGGCCAAUGGCAGGGGAAUGAUUGUCAAAUAGAGUCAUGAUCCCAAAAAGGAUAAGUGAUCACUCAAAAUGAAAUGAAGUGUUGGUUGCUGGCUUGGAGACAGCAGUGGCCAAUAGUUAAGAGGACAAAGCCAAUUAAGUGAACUCUUGAAAAAUCACCAAAACAUUGAACAGUGAAAUACUUAGAUUGAAAACACUACAAUAUUUGCUGUGGAGAAACAGAACUUUGUGGAUUUAUGAAUGGAAAUGAGAUAUAGCGUUCUGGAUUCUUAUAAGAGAGCAGAAAGUAUGAGCAAUGCAUCUCAGUCCUUUGUUGUGGAGGAGGAAUAUAAGAGAUGGCCGGGAUUGCUUAUUGAAGAUGAGGAAGUACCCCUCCCCCCAAGAAUGUGCAUGAUUCUGUUGCUGCUGGUGGUCAAUGAGGAUGUGAUGAUCUUCUCAUAAGUUUGUGCAGUUUUUAGUGCUGUUUAGCUUCACCUUGGUGCACUACCUCUCUGAGGAUAUGGCAGAGGAGGCACCCAUGUCUUCCUUUAGUCCUGCCUUUGGUCCAUAUCUCCCCCUCCCCCCCCCCCCCCCCCCCCCCCCUUAAAAAGCAAGCUGUCAGGUAACUCUAGGGCCUGGGCUUUCUCCUCUCUUCUCUAUAUUCUUUUGUAUUGAGUCAAACCCGGAAGUCCUCCUCUGCAUUGUCUGAUAGAUAAAGAAACUGGGAACAAGUUGGAGACUUCCUCCACCUUUUUCCUAAUUUCCCUAUAACGUGCUCUCUUUUUGUCCCGUUCUCCUGGGCUCCGUCAGCAAGUCCUCCUUCAAAAUCUCCAGAAAAUAAGGAGGCACAGUUCUUGGUGUUCAGAUAUGCUCCCAAGUUCCAAAAGACACAGGUCACAUUCUCCCUCAUACUCCCUCAUAGGGCUCACUGCACUUUGAAGGCAGGCUUCAGGUUGGUCUCUAGUUCCCUGACUCUAAAUAUUUAGCUAACUAGUAGGCUGUCAGGCUUUCUGCCUUGCCAGUCAUCACUUUCUGUAUUUCACUGAAACUCCCUCUUUACUUGACUUCUGGUGGGUUGAGGGGAACUAUUUUUCUGCCCACUUAGGGGUGUUAUGCCGGUUGGCAAUGGGAGAGGUGGUUCCUUUGCCUCUGAAUAAGUCCUCAGGGAGACUUUUGGCCUCAUUGGUUGGAGAGGCCUUUAAAAGUAUGGAAUCCUUAUACAAUUUUGUCAUCAUAUUUCAAUUAGAAUAACCAAUUCCAAGACAACAAGAAAAAUCCCAUCAACAUGCCAUUAUAAUAGCACAAAACUAAAGUAAAUGAUAUACUUCAUUCUUACAUGACAUUGUGUUAUACAAUGAAAAACAAAACAAAACAAAACAAAACACAAACUAACCCACAGGAUAUGGCAAACCAAAUUUUUCAGUACCUAAGAUUUUAAGUUAGGUAUGCUUAGAGUAGCAUUGAUUUUCAAAGAUCAUCAGAAGUAUUAUUAGUGAAAAUAUUAUAGGUGUUUUGUCUGACUUUCUCUUGGAAUAUAGCAGGUGUAAGAUAGAUGUCAGAGUGAGGGAGAGGAGUUAGGCCUAUUAUUAAAUCAUUGAUCAGUCAAGAAUAUAUCUCACUUAGUAACAGUGUUUAACUUUUUAUUAGUAGGGCUUUGAAUACAAUAAGCAAGGCUGAUGUUUAUUUAAAAACAAUAUUUUGUUUUUAAUAAACAUAUUUUCCUUUGAGACCUUCUCAAAGAUUACUUGUUAAUCUUAUGCCUCAUAGUCCCCUUAACAGAGAGGUUUGAAUAAAGAAGUAUUUUAGGUUCUGGCUUAAAUAUUAAGAUGGUUUUAAGCAUUCCCAAUGGCUAACAAGUAUAAUGAUUAUCAUUCCCAGAGCAGUACUGUCUUCAGACUUUCUCAGCUGAAUUCUUUUUGAGUGACAUUUCUGCUAUCCAUAUCCUUCUUGUUAAGAACUCAAUAAUGGACUAGGUUAAUUAGAGAUAGGUAAUCUUACCUUGUGUUAAUCAUCCUUCUGUUAGAAUAAAUUAACCUUUUAGCUCCUAUUUUCUGGAAUUCCCAGCCUCCGUAGACACUGUUCUCGAGGCAUUAGAUAGCCUCAUGAAAUUUUAAACUCAUUUGAAUUUAGAAAUAUCCAUUUCUGAUAGAGUUAUUAAGCUUAAUAAUCACAGAGAUUUACUCUGAGAUCAUUGAAGAUUAGCCUAAUUCAGGUACUUUAUAGGCUUGUUUUUUCCUAGCUGUGUGAUUUGGGGAGAUGUGGUUAUCAUCUCUGAGUUUUCAUUUCCUGACUCAAAGAAUGGGAAUCAAUAUUAUUCACUGAAAUUAUAGAAAUCAAAUGGGUUAACACCUAUAGUGGAUUCUGAAAUGCACUACUGUAAUGUUUGGUACUGGGAGUAUUAUUUUGAAAUAUAGUCAAGUCAGAAGAUUUCACUUUUUGUCCUCUUGGUGUUAACUGUUCACUAAUAUCCUGGAUUCUUUUCCCUGGCUCCCUUGAAUCAUUGUCAAAGAACAAAAUAAUGGCAAAAAGUUGUGGCAGUGGGCAUUCUGACCACUUGUCGCUCCCAUAAUUCUUUCGUACAUGUGUAGCCCAGGCAGAUUUAUGUCAGUCCACCGAAGAAUAGAGCACAUUGGGAGUCACAGUGGAGAUUCACAACACCCCAUGACAAACUGAAAAACAAGCAUGUGUUAAAAUAAAUCUAUUAACAAUGAAAAUGUAAGUUUGUCUGCUUUUAAAAGGCAAAAUAAUGCAGUGAAUUUCAGAGGUAAUUUAGGAAAUAUUCAAACAUUUGGCUUUAGUUAGAAAGGUGGGAAAAUAUAUCAGAACUAGAUUCCAUUUGGGCAGGGUUUAUCCUUCUCAUCCUGAGUUUGAGCCAAAAAUCCUCAGUUUUGACUAGUUUUAAAUGUUUCUCCAAAUUUGGGCAGAGCCUUUUGCCUAUUUAGAGAUAGAUGCUGCUUAGUUCAACAUCAGAUAAGGGGGAUGGAGGCUCAUGUAUAUCAGGACCCACCAAAAUCAAAGAGCAGAAAAAGGUCACAGGGUAGACAAUGGUAUGUUUGUGGAUAGAGGGGCACCACUAGUGAGUAAAUGAAUACCUCAUGAGGUGGAAGAUAUCCCAUCAUUAAAGUUUCUCUUGGGCAAAGAAUGUAUUUAGAAAAAUUACUUGAUAAGCUACUGGUGGGUAGUUUGAUAAUAACUGAGUUGGUAAAACUUUGAGAAUAUAGGCACUUGCAUUUAUUUCUGUUUCAAGUAUAAAUCAAUACCACUCCUUAGGAGGGAAAUGUAAUAAUGUUUAUCAAAAUUACAA